GACACAAGAGGCUUUAGAAGACAAUCUGUGCUGCUUGCCACUCAAAGGCAUCUAGACAAUCCCAGAAGGGAAAUUUGGCCUCUGAUGCCUUUGCCCAGGAAAAGGUCAAUGUUUGGCUUACCUUCAUCAAACCUUCUCCAAUGCUGCAGGUUCUCCAUGACCCAGGGCAACAAAGGAUACCUGGGAGGAGUCCCAGUGAGGAUCCAAUAGAGAUGGUGUCACAGAAGCCAGAGACCAGCAGACCAAUGACUCACUGCAACGAACAUUUGCAAGUGAAGAUGUGUGGGCAGAGGGAUAGACUGGGACAUACUGUGGCACACUACAGCUUCCACGAUGAGGU
rnacentral:lncRNA from 1 species